rnacentral:rRNA from 1 species
UACAGAGGUCUCAAGCGUUGUUCGGAUUCAUUGGGCGUAAAGGGUGCGUAGGUGGCGCGCUAAGUCAGGUGUGAAAUUUCGGAGCUUAACUCCGAAACUGCAUUUGAUACUGGCGUGCUUGAGGACUGGAGAGGAGACUGGAAUUCAUGGUGUAGCAGUGAAAUGCGUAGAGAUCAUGAGGAAAACCAGUGGCGAAGGCGGGUCUCUGGACAGUUCCUGACACUGAGGCACGAAGGCCAGGGGAGCAAACGGG